AGAGUUUGAUCCUGGCUCAGGAUGAACGCUAGCGGCAGGCUUAACACAUGCAAGUCGAGGGGUAAUCCCGAUCUCCGGAUCGGGAACGACCGGCGCACGGGUGAGUAACGCGUAUGGAACCUACCUGCAACAGGGGGAUAGCUUCCGGAAACGGGGAUUAAUCCCCCAUAAAGUUUAGCAGUGGCCUCACUGUUAAAUUAAAGCUAAGGCGGUUGCAGAUGGCCAUGCGUACCAUUAGCUGGUUGGUGAGGUAAAGGCUCACCAAGGCGACGAUGGUUAGGGGUCCUGAGAGGGUAGUCCCCCACACUGGUACUGAGACACGGACCAGACUCCUACGGGAGGCAGCAGUGAGGAAUAUUGGUCAAUGGGCGCUAGCCUGAACCAGCCAUGCCGCGUGCAGGAAGACGGCCCUACGGGUUGUAAACUGCUUUUCUGCGGGAAGAACCUCCCGGAUUCGCUUCGGGAUUGACGGUACCGCAGGAAUAAGCAUCGGCUAACUCCGUGCCAGCAGCCGCGGUAAUACGGAGGAUGCAAGCGUUAUCCGGAUUCAUUGGGUUUAAAGGGUGCGCAGGCGGUGGAGCAAGUCAGUGGUGAAAGCCCGAAGCUCAACUUCGGGAUUGCCAUUGAAACUGUUUCACUUGAGUUUAGUCGAGGACGGCGGAAUGAGUUGUGUAGCGGUGAAAUGCAUAGAUAUAACUCAGAACACCAAUUGCGAAGGCAGCUGUCUAGACUAAAACUGACGCUGAGGCACGAAAGCGUGGGGAGCGAACAGGAUUAGAUACCCUGGUAGUCCACGCAGUAAACGAUGAUCACUCGUUGUUGGCUACUUGGUAGUCAGUGACUAAGGGAAACCGUUAAGUGAUCCACCUGGGGAGUACGUCGGCAACGAUGAAACUCAAAGGAAUUGACGGGGGCCCGCACAAGCGGAGGAACAUGUGGUUUAAUUCGAUGAUACGCGAGGAACCUUACCUGGGCUUAAAUGCAGGCUGCAUUCCCGCGAGAGCGGGAUUUCCUACGGGACCGCCUGCAAGGUGCUGCAUGGUUGUCGUCAGCUCGUGCCGUGAGGUGUCGGGUUAAGUCCCAUAACGAGCGCAACCCCUAUCGUUAGUUGCCAGCAUGUGAUGGUGGGGACUCUAGCGAGACUGCCGGUGUAAACCGGAGGAAGGUGGGGAUGACGUCAAAUCAGCACGGCCCUUACGUCCAGGGCUACACACGUGUUACAAUGGCCGGUACAAAGAGCAGCCACCUGGCGACAGGGUGCUAAUCUUCAAAGCCGGUCUCAGUUCGGAUCGAAGUCUGCAAUUCGACUUCGUGAAGGUGGAUUCGCUAGUAAUCGCGCAUCAGCCAUGGCGCGGUGAAUAAGUUCCCGGGCCUUGUACACACCGCCCGUCAAGCCAUGGAAGCCGGGGGUACCUGAAGUCCGUAACCGAUCUUGCUUCGGCAAGAGAGGAGCGGCCUAGGGUAAACCCGGUGACUGGGGCUAAGUCGUAACAAGGUAACC
rnacentral:rRNA from 1 species